rnacentral:rRNA from 1 species
UACGGAGGGUGCAAGCGUUAUCCGGAUUUAUUGGGUUUAAAGGGUACGUAGGCGGUGAAAUAAGUCAGUGGUCGAAAUCCAGCAGCUUAACUGUUGAUGUGCCAUUGAUACUGUUUUUCUAGAGUGAUGAUGAGGUGGGUGGAAUUCCAUGUGUAACGGUGAAAUGCUUAGAUAUAUGGAGGAACACCCGAUAACGAAGGUAGCUCACUAAUUUUUCACUGACGCUGAGGUACGAAAGCGUGGGGAUCAAACGGG